UUAAGUUGUCAUUCGACUUUUCGUUCAGACUGCAAUCAAGCUUCUUUUCGCAAGUUGGUUUCGCUGGGGCUACCGGCAGACUGACCCGACUCCGCCGCGCGUGGCGGCGGGGAGGAGCUGCCGAAGCAACCGGGGCGUUUCACAAGGGGUUUCACGCUGACCGCGGCCGGCGCGCCUUUUGACGGGCGCGCGGCGCGGCAGGUGUCGGGGGGCAGAACCCCCCGGUUUCUAAGUAAUGAUCCUUCCGCAGGUUCACCUACGGAAA
rnacentral:misc_RNA from 1 species